AGUGAACGCUGGCGGUAGGCCUAACACAUGCAAGUCGAACGGCAGCACAGUAAGAGCUUGCUCUUACGGGUGGCGAGUGGCGGACGGGUGAGGAAUACAUCGGAAUCUACUUUUUCGUGGGGGAUAACGUAGGGAAACUUACGCUAAUACCGCAUACGACCUACGGGUGAAAGCAGGGGAUCUUCGGACCUUGCGCGAUUGAAUGAGCCGAUGUCGGAUUAGCUAGUUGGCGGGGUAAAGGCCCACCAAGGCGACGAUCCGUAGCUGCUCUGAGAGGAUGAGCGGCAGCAGGGGAACUGAGAGACGGUCGAGACUCCUACGGGAGGCAGCAGGAGGGAAUCUUCGGGAAUGGGCGAAAGCCUGACGGAGCAAUGGCGGGUGAGUGAUGAAGGCCUUCGGAUCGUAAAACUCUGUUAGUAGGGAAGAACAAAUGCGUAAGUAACUAUGCACGUCGUGACGGUACCUAAUAAGAAAGCCACGACUAACUACGUG
rnacentral:rRNA from 1 species